UACGUAGGGUCCGAGCGUUGUCCGGAAUUAUUGGGCGUAAAGGGCUCGUAGGCGGUCUGUUGCGUCGGGAGUGAAAACUUACAGCUUAACUGUGAGCGUGCUUCCGAUACGGGCAGACUUGAGGUAUUCAGGGGAGAACGGAAUUCCUGGUGUAGCGGUGAAAUGCGCAGAUAUCAGGAGGAACACCGGUGGCGAAGGCGGGUCUCUGGGCCGAUACUGACGCUGAGGAGCGAAAGCGUGGGGAGCGAACAGG
rnacentral:rRNA from 1 species